rnacentral:rRNA from 1 species
UACGUAGGCGGCGAGCGUUGUCCGGAAUUACUGGGUGUAAAGGGCGUGUAGGCAGGGCGGCAAGUCAGAUGUGAAAUUCCGAGGCUCAACUCCGGCGAUGCUUCUGAAACUGUCGUUCUUGAGUGCUGGAGAGGAGAGUGGAAUUCCCAGUGUAGCGGUUAAAUGCGUAGAGAUUGGAAGGAAGAACAGUGGCGAAGGCGGCUUUCUGGACAGUAACUGAGGCUGAGGGGCGAAAGCGUGGAGAGCAAACAGG